rnacentral:rRNA from 1 species
UACGUAGGGUCCGAGCGUUAAUCGGAAUUACUGGGCGUAAAGCGUGCGCAGGCGGUUUUGUAAGCCAGAUGUGAAAUCCCCGGGCUCAACCUGGGAACUGCAUUUGGGACUGCAAGGCUUGAGUACGGCAGAGGGGGGUAGAAUUCCUGGUGUAGCAGUGAAAUGCGUAGAGAUGCGGAGGAACACCGAUGGCGAAGGCAGCCCCCUGGGUUGACACUGACGCUCAGGCACGAAAGCGUGGGGAGCAAACGGGG